rnacentral:lncRNA from 1 species
GGAACUUCUCGGCACUGCCCAAGAGAACGUGUCUCCUCUCCUCCUGAUGGUACAGUGCUCGUUGGCUGUUCGGAAAAGCGAUUUCUGGUGAACCCGGCAGGGUCGUAGCAGGGGUGCGGAGGGCUGUAGUCGGAAGGAGGGCUUGCGCUUCCCUUUUGAACGUUGCCAGAGAACGAGCGGGCCCAGACUCCAGGAGAUCAGCGGGGUACAACUGGUAGAGUAUAGCAGAUGGGAGGAUGCUGUUUCAGAUAUUUCCCCCCCCGCCCCCCAGAAAUUUGGCGUACUUCAAACUAGACUUUUAUCUUCAGGAAAUUCGAAUAACAUUUCUUUCUGGUGUAAAAUCCCAUUUCAAUGAACUCAUUGGUGCUGACGUUGUUCAUUAGCUGUGGUCUGACCUCAUUAAUGUAUUGAAUUGAGAAUGCAUUCGGCCUAGUCCAGCAGCGUUUUGUAAAGUUUGGAUGGCGAUCCGAUCCGGCAGGAUGUCCUCGCAAGAAUCUUGCGAAAUAAGGCAACGCCGUGGAGAUCUGUCGGUCGAUUUCAUUUGGCAGAUUGACGAUUCAUUUCCCCCCCAGCUCGUCUGAUUUACACGUUUAUAUUUAAUUAUCCUCAUGUACCAAAAAAAUCAAUAGUGCUUUGGCGCUCACAAGCCACGCUGGUGAAACUGUCCAGCAGGAGAUAGACACCCCACCACUCGCCCCCAAACCAAGUAUUGCUGACUAAAUUCAAUGUUCACGCUUUAAAAUACUUUUAGUUACGGAUACUGUUCGCUCCAGUUUUGGGCUCAAGACGUUAACGUUGAAUUUGUGUCGUUCCACCGGGCCCCGCUGAGGCCCGGGUCGGAAGCAGUGACAUUCUAAUGGGCUUUUGCACUCUACUUCCUUUUCCUUUGGAAUGUGAAGGUCUGAAUGAGGGUUUCAAUUCUGAAUGUUUCCGCAUUUUUGAGAAGCCUUGCUUACAUUUUAUGGUGUAGUCAUUGGAAAUGGAAAAAUGGCAUUAUAUAUAUAUAUUAUAUAUAUAAAUAUAUAUUAUAAUACUCUCCUAUACUUUAUUUCAGUUACCAUCCCCAUAGAACUUGACAAGAAUUACUGCGACUGAAAGGUUUUUUGAGUCCUUAUGAAAACUUUAUUUAUGACAGUAUUCACAAGUAGCCUGAGAUGCAUUCUGUAGCUCAUCUCUUUGAGUUUCUGGACUGUAUGCUUCAAUUUCUGGAUGUGCAGCAGCUUACAUGUCUGAAAUUACUUGAAGGCAUCCAUCCCUUUGCACAGAGCUCCCCGCUGGGCCCUGGGCCAUCCCCGGUCACCUGGAGCCCCCCCGCCCGUCCCCGUCCCCCACCCCCGACUCUUUUUGCCACCAUUACUGAAGGGCAGUUGGACAGAGAGCGUUAAGAUGAUUUGCUGUGGCGCGGGCUGUAAACCUCAGCGGAGUUUACAGGCAGCCUCAGAUGUUUCAGCUUUAAACAAUUACAUUAGGGUGCAAGGUCUGUGUUUUAGUUCUAGAAAACGUGUGCAAUAUGUUAACGAUGGCUGUGGUUGCCACCAAGUGCCUCGUUCACCUUUAAAUACUGUUAGAGCGCGUCCUGCAUGCAGGUGGAAGGGGCGGAGCUGGGCCCUGACGCGGGCCUUCCCAGGGGCCUCUCCUCUGCCCGCUCACAUUUUCAGUCUGUUUCCCUAUAGAGUAUAUAUCCUAAAAAAGUCCAGUCUGUUCAACAGCCUUACUCGGAUUCAGCCUCUUGAGAUACUCUAGUGCUGUGCCUCAGUGGCUCCGUGUGUGAUGCAAUGCACUGAGGAUACACAACCACCAUUCGAUGUGUACAGGAUAAUUAAUGCCUCAUACAAAUCAGUUGUCCAUUUGUUAUUGUGUUUGUUAACCCUUUAUCUCUUAGUGUUAUAAACUCCACUUAAAACUGAUUAAAGUCUCAUUCUUG